rnacentral:lncRNA from 1 species
UUAACUUAUGCAACUGAAUUAAUUAAAAAGAAGAAAAAUUAAUUAACAAAAAACAAAAGGAGCAGUCAUCUUCUUCCCCAUCCCUGCAUCUAUUAUUCCACCAUUUUCAUCAUCUUUCUUACACACAUGCGCACACCCCAACCCCUCCACCUCUCUCUUUCUCUCACCCUCUGCCAUUCUUCUUCUUAUUUCCCCUUUUUAUGUUAAUUUACGUCUCAAAUAUCUCGAUGAAGCUCAAUUUAUUACAUGAAAAAUAUGAAUUGAUUUUUUUUGGGAAAAAGUUUUUUUUUUUUUUUUAACUCUAAUAAAUAGUUACUAAUGGAGAGAAGAUGAAGGCAAUGAGUAAAAGAUAUUCAUGCUAUCGAAAUGAAAGAGAAUGAGUAUUUAGCUUGAGUGGAUAGCAAUGGUGUAUUUUGUACUGCCGACGCCAACGAAAGAGAAGAAAGAGGUAGAGCGAUGGUUUGCUGGCGUCGCCGGUGCCGACACCGACUCCGGUGGAAGGGGAAACCAGAAUUGGGUCUAUCGAAGAAGAAGAAGGGAAAGGGAAGGGGGGGGGCUGUUAAUUAAAAAAACUUUUUAAUUAUUUAAAAUACUUUUUGGAUUAUUUAAAUAGAGCUUUUAAAAAAAAUUGAAUACAAUACCACGUGUCAUCAUUUUAUUGGUAAAUCGAUUUUGUAUUCACGUUUGAGAUGCAUGCAUUUUUAUUUUUCAACUGUUUGUCAGUUUAUGUCAAAUAGGUAAAAAUUUCUUAAGGUUGGAGUGUUC